AUUGAACGCUGGCGGCAGGCCUAACACAUGCAAGUCGAGCGGAUGAAGGGAGCUUGCUCCUGGAUUCAGCGGCGGACGGGUGAGUAAUGCCUAGGAAUCUGCCUGGUAGUGGGGGAUAACGUCCGGAAACGGGCGCUAAUACCGCAUACGUCCUGAGGGAGAAAGUGGGGGAUCUUCGGACCUCACGCUAUCAGAUGAGCCUAGGUCGGAUUAGCUAGUUGGUGGGGUAAAGGCCUACCAAGGCGACGAUCCGUAACUGGUCUGAGAGGAUGAUCAGUCACACUGGAACUGAGACACGGUCCAGCGUACUCCGGGAGGCACGAGUGGGGAAUGUUGGAGAAUGGGCUAAAACCUGAACCAACUAUGACGCGUGUGUGAAGAAGGUAUUCGGAUUUUAAAUCACUUUAAGUUGGGAAAAAGGGCAGUAAGUUAAUACCUUGCUGUUUUGACGUUAACAACAGAAUAGGCACCGGCUAACUUGAUG
rnacentral:rRNA from 1 species